AGUCUUAUAUUCUAUAUAUGAUUAAGAAUUUAAAUUGCAAAUUUAAAAAAAUAAAUUUAUUUAUUAAGACUU
rnacentral:tRNA from 1 species